rnacentral:rRNA from 1 species
CCUACGGGUGGCAGCAGUGGGGAAUAUUGGACAAUGGGCGAAAGCCUGAUCCAGCCAUGCCGCGUGUGUGAAGAAGGCCUUCGGGUUGUAAAGCACUUUCAGUGGGGAAGAAAGCCUUGGGGCUAAUACCCUCGAGGAAGGACAUCACCCACAGAAGAAGCACCGGCUAACUCCGUGCCAGCAGCCGCGGUAAUACGGAGGGUGCGAGCGUUAAUCGGAAUUACUGGGCGUAAAGCGCGCGUAGGCGGUCUGAUAAGCCGGUUGUGAAAGCCCCGGGCUCAACCUGGGAACGGCAUCCGGAACUGUCAGGCUAGAGUGCAGGAGAGGAAGGUAGAAUUCCCGGUGUAGCGGUGAAAUGCGUAGAGAUCGGGAGGAAUACCAGUGGCGAAGGCGGCCUUCUGGACUGACACUGACGCUGAGGUGCGAAAGCGUGGGUAGCAAACAGGACUAGAUACCCUUGUAGUC